ACAAACCCGGGUGUUUUUCGAAAAUGAUAUACUUUUUCAAUUGAUACUGGUUCGUUUUUGUUGUUCUUGGAACUCAGCAUAAAAAAAUGUAGCAAAAGAAAUGUGUAAGCUCAUGCAGCUUAAUCUUAUUUGAAAUAGGACGAGGUGUAUUUUCUCACCUAUCAAAAAGCUCUCCGCCCGUCACAAGCUCUAGCACCAUAAAGAGAUGAGUAUGGGUCUCAAACAGCUCCUUCAUAUGGAUCUGAAAGUUGGCAAGGCUUACAGUUAGGAGAAAGGUUGAACAUAAUCAUCAGAGUCGAAACUGGUCAAAGAAAGCAUGACGACGGCUUAGAAAAAAGAAGAAAUAGGCGAUUUUCUGACCAAAUUGAAGCUGCCACCUGGCAAAGGGACUCUUGGACUACCAAACAGCGAAGUCACUUUUAAACACUGAUUAUGGAGUCCGUUUUUGAGACUGUAUUGUAAACUAUGCUAUUUACUAGGAAUAAAAUAGUUUACUGUUUGUGA